GCCUUGUGCUUUAGAGAAGGUGAAUAUAAACUUAUCAAUUUAAUCCUAGUUAUGAAAAAUUAGAUGAUAUAGUAACCUGCGUGCUUUUGAGGAUGGAUGAAGCAAUAGAAGCUUGUCGAUUUGUUAUGAGGAAUGAGAAAAGAAUGAGAUUGUGCGUUUUAGUUGCCUGACCACACACAAACUUAGCUGUCUUGUGCUUUAGAGAAGGUGAAUAUAAGCUCGUCAAUUUAAUCCUAGUUAUGAAAAAUUAGAGAAGAAUAUUGUAUCUAUUCUUAUAUUCUCACCAUCACUGAAUUGUGGUUUUCAGUUACCUGACAAAAUAAAAGCAUGUCUGUCUUGAGCAUUAGAAGAGAUGAGGUGAAAACACUUGCUUUAGACUCUUACUGGGACAAAUCAUGGAAAUUAUUAGUUUUAUUCUCGGCAUAAAAGAAACUGUGUCUCCUGGUUACCUGAUGACCCCCAAACUUAAACUUUAGAAUGGAUAAACAGGUGAAUGCAUUUGCUUCUUACUCUUUUUAGGAUGAGUCGAGGAACUUAUUUGUGUUUUAUUCUCCACAUAAAAUUACCCUGUGUCUCCUGGUUACUUGACGACCCACAAACUUGGUAGCCUUGAACUUUAAAAGGGAUGAAGAGAUGAAUACAUUUGCUUUACUCUUCUUAGGAUGACUCUAGGAAAUUAUUUGUGAUUUAUUCUCCACAUAAAAUUACCCUGUGUCUCCUGGUUACUUGACGACCCAUAAACUAGUCUGCCUUGAACUUUAAAUGUAAUGAAGAGGUGAAUACAUUUGCUUUAGACUCUUUUUAGGAUGAAUCAGGGAAGUUAUUUGUGAUUUAUUCUCAACAUAAAAUUAUCCUGCGUCUUCUGGUUACCUGAUGACCCACAAACUAGUCUGCCUUGAGCUUUAAAUGGGAUGAAGAGAUGAAUACAUUUGCUUUAGACUCUUUUUAGGAUGAAUCAAGGAAGUUAUUUGUGUUUUAUUCUCUACAUAAAAUUACCCUGCGUCUUCUGGUUACCUGACGACCCACAAACUCAGCUUUCAGGGGGGGUGAAGAGGCACAUACCCCUCUUCAUUUAGUUUUUUUAGAUGCUUGAUGUUAUAAUAAAUCAGGGAGGAAAUUAUAGCACUUUAUUCUCACCAUAAAUGAGAUUGUGUCUUUGGGGUUAUGACGACAAACUUUCGGCGGCGACACGCAAACACAGACAAACAGACGGGGAGGCGAGGACAACGCAGGACGCGACACACAACAACGGUAAUGCAGACGAAAUCACGUGCUAACCUAGGAAAAUGCAUCGUACGUGGUGGUGGUGGUGGUGGUACACUCAAUGACCACUAACGCCAAAAAAAUAUAUAUACAUUUGUAAGAUAGUUCACAGUCGGUGUAACUUGUGCCCAGUAUCAGACUAGACACUCCUCUCUUACUCUCUCUUAGCUCUCUCAAAUGCCCAAUCAGUAAAAAAAGUGAGUUUAUUCAUGGUUUUAGGCCAAUCACACACGUCACCUCUUUUAAACCUUAAUAACAAUGUUUAAAUUACUUGUAAAAGAAAAGAUUUGCACUGAAAGUUUAAAUUAUUUGUAAAAAGACAGAUUUACAAUGAAAAAAAAUGACUGAGAAAAUGGUCUAAUGAUGUGGAUUUAUAAUAAAAAAAAAUGGCCAAGAAAAAAAUGUCUAAUGAUGUGGAUUUAUAAGAGAAAAAAUUCCCUAAUGUGGAUUUAUGAGAAAAAAAAUGGCCUAAACAUGAGAAUUUAUAAGAGAAAAGAUUACCUAAAGAUGUGGAUUUGUUCAUAAUUUAACCUCAUCACAUCAUCAUCUUUUUUCCUAAUCUCAAUAACAGUAACAGCAAAUUCACAAAGAAUAUUUAAAUAGGAUAAAACAUCGAAAAUAAACCUGCUGGGUGACGUGGGGGUUCCGAAACCCUAUGCGGCACACACACCAUGGCAAGUAUUUCCUCCGACGACACACGCACACACGGAAAAAAAUAAUCUACCCACCUGACUGAUCCUGACUGACUGACUAACUUACACACCAACACACCAAAUUGAGCAAAGACCUUGGUACUCUUAGGAGAGAACGGGUCGGCCUCACAGCCCAGCACAGCAACUUUAAACUACUAUACCAUCUAUGUUUGUUUGUGUUUGGUGUCGUUUUGCAAUGCUGGUUUGUUUUCCUGUAUUUUUUGGGGCGUUUGUUUGUGGGUAUGUCUGUGUUGUUUUGCUGGUUUGUUUACGGUGUUGCUAGGUGUGCUUGUUUGUGUUGGCCGGUUUUGUUUUCCUGGUUUGUUGUCUUUCUUUGUUUUGCAAGUUCAUAUCAUUGGUUUGUGUAUAAAGUCACUGUGCUGGACUGCCAAACCCACCCAAUGACCUGACUUGACUGUUGUGGUACUUCUCAAACACGCAGACCCGGUUCAGCGGGCACAGGGCAUGCUCGCCACUCAGUACUCAACUUACCGACCAGUACCCACAAAAAUAACAUGAAGAAUUGAGGUAAACAAUAAAGAAAAUGAACUACUGUAAAAGUCCACUGAUCUGAAUUCCACUUAUUGAGAAAUCCAAAAGUUCAAAUUUGGGUAAACAAAAAAUUAUAAUCUCAAAUAACAAAACAAAAUAAAUUCAGGGCCAAAAUCUACUGUGGCCCCUUGAUUUUGUUACCUAAGAGAAUUUGUAAGUCAAUAUUUUCAGACUGACAUGUUUAAAUGAGAAAGGUAGAAUAACACAUGGCCUUACGUUACUGAUGCGAGUACUAAUUGGAAAGGUGAGUACAAGUUGGCAUGUCUACCCCUGUACCUAGUAAAUGCAGGUAAAGUGACUGCUGUGAUUCUGAGGCACAGCGACUCUCGUGACCUAUUCACACGGCACAGUGCAGCGCAGGAGGUGGCACGGGAUGACACAGGGAGAAAUAUUGCACUUCCUGUUGCGUUUACAUGAAGAGUAAUAAGUUAGUUAAGCAAUGGAGGCAGCAGUGAGGGUAGGGAGAUGACAGAAGAAGAAUGAGUUAAUGGCUAGUGGAGAAA